AGGGUAUAACUCAAGCGGUAGAGUGUGUGCUUAGCACGCACAAGUUGCUGGGUUCAAUCCCCAGUACUGCUU
rnacentral:tRNA from 1 species